rnacentral:rRNA from 1 species
AUACAUCGGAACGUGCCCAAUCGUGGGGGAUAACGCAGCGAAAGCUGUGCUAAUACCGCAUACGAUCUACGGAUGAAAGCAGGGGACCGCAAGGCCUUGCGCGAAUGGAGCGGCCGAUGGCAGAUUAGGUAGUUGGUGGGGUAAAGGCUCACCAAGCCAACGAUCUGUAGCUGGUCUGAGAGGACGACCAGCCACACUGGGACUGAGACACGGCCCAGACUCCUACGGGAGGCAGCAGUGGGGAAUUUUGGACAAUGGGCGAAAGCCUGAUCCAGCAAUGCCGCGUGCAGGAUGAAGGCCUUCGGGUUGUAAACUGCUUUUGUACGGAACGAAACGGUCUUUUCUAAUACAGAAGGCUAAUGACGGUACCGUAAGAAUAAGCACCGGCUAACUACGUGCCAGCAGCCGCGGUAAUACGUAGGGUGCAAGCGUUAAUCGGAAUUACUGGGCGUAAAGCGUGCGCAGGCGGUUAUGUAAGACAGUUGUGAAAUCCCCGGGCUCAACCUGGGAAUUGCAUCUGUGACUGCAUAGCUAGAGUACGGUAGAGGGGGAUGGAAUUCCGCGUGUAGCAGUGAAAUGCGUAGAUAUGCGGAGGAACACCGAUGGCGAA